rnacentral:rRNA from 1 species
AUACGUAGGUGGCGAGCGUUGUCCGGAAUCAUUGGGCGUAAAGAGCGCGUAGGUGGCUUGUCAGGUCCGAUGUGAAAUCCCGGAGCUCAACUCCGGAACUGCGCUUGAAACUACAGCUCUUGAGGGUAGGCGGGGUCAACGGAAUUCCACGUGUAGCGGUGAAAUGCGUAGAUAUGUGGAAGAACACCGGUGGCGAAGGCGGUUGACUAGCUUAUACCUGACACUGAAGCGCGAAAGCAAGGGGAGC